GGGGGGAGGUCAGAUCCUGGGCUGUGUCCCCGGCUCCCUGUGCUCCCGGGGCCUGUGCUGCUUGAAUCGAGCUCCCCCCGCGCAGCUCCCU
rnacentral:pre_miRNA from 1 species